rnacentral:rRNA from 1 species
GUGCCAGCAGCCGCGGUAAUACGAACUGUGCGAACGUUAUUCGGAAUCACUGGGCUUACAGGGUGCGUAGGCGGCUUGUUAAGCAGGGUGUGAAAUCCUCCGGCUCAACCGGAGAACAGCGCUCUGGACUGGCAGGCUUGAGUGUGCUAGGGGUGUGUGGAACUUCCAGUGGAGCGGUGAAAUGUGUUGAUAUUGGAAGGAACACCGGUGGCGAAAGCGACACACUGGGGCACAACUGACGCUGAGGCACGAAAGCCAGGGGAGCGAACGGGAUUAGAUACCCGUGUAGUCC